rnacentral:rRNA from 1 species
UACGUAGGGUGCGAGCGUUAAUCGGAAUUACUGGGCGUAAAGCGUGCGCAGGCGGUUUUGUAAGCCAGAUGUGAAAUCCCCGGGCUUAACCUGGGAAUGGCAUUUGGGACUGCAAGGCUCGAGUGCGGCAGAGGAGACUGGAAUUCCUGGUGUAGCAGUGAAAUGCGUAGAUAUCAGGAGGAAUACCGGUGGCGAAGGCGGGUCUCUGGGCCGUAACUGACGCUGAGGAGCGAAAGCAUGGGGAGCGAACAGG